AUGACGAGCGAGGUGCAGUCGGCGCCGCCGACGCCGCGGCCGGUGUCCGCCCCGCCGUCGCAGAUGCACUCUCCGGCGCCCAGCCGGUCGCCGCUGCGCGCGAUGGCGUCGCCGCUCGCCAGCCCCGUGAAGAAGGCGGUGGCGAGCGUGAGGGGGUACCUGGAGGAGGUCGGGCACAUCACCAAGCUCGCCGACCCGCGCGACGCCUGGCUGCCCAUCACCGCGUCCAGGAGCGGCAACGCCUACUACGCCGCCUUCCACAACCUCAGCUCCGGCGUCGGCUUCCAGGCGCUCGUGCUCCCCGCCGCCUUCGCCUCCCUCGGAUGGACGUGGGCGAUCGUGUGCCUGACCGUGGCAUUCGCGUGGCAGCUCUACACGCUGCGGCUGCUGGUGAACCUCCACGAGCCCGUCGCCGGCGGCACACGCUACAGCCGGUACAUGCACCUCGCCACCACCGUCUUCGGCGAGAGAUGGGGCAAGAUCCUGGCCCUGCUCCCGACGAUGUACCUGUCGGCGGGGACCUGCACGGCGCUCAUCAUCGUGGGCGGCGGCAGCAUGAAGAUCCUCUUCAGCAUCGCGUGCGGGCCGGCGUGCCUGGCGCGGCCGCCGACCAUGGUGGAGUGGUACGUCGUCUUCGUCUGCGUGGCCGUGGUGCUGUCCCAGCUCCCCAACCUCAACUCCAUCGCCGGCGUCUCCCUGGUCGGGGCGACGGCGGCCGUCGGGUACUGCACCAUGAUCUGGGUCAUUUCCGUUGCCAAGGGCAGGGUGGCCGGCGUGUCCUACGACCCGGUCAAGGCCAGCAGCGACGUCGACAGGACGAUCGCCGUCCUCAAUGGCCUCGGCAUCAUCGCGUUCGCUUUCAGGGGGCACAAUCUUGUGCUCGAGAUUCAGGGCACAAUGCCGUCGACGCUGAAGCACCCUUCUCACGUGCCCAUGUGGAAGGGCGUCAAGUUCGCCUACCUCGUCGUGGCGCUCUGCCUCUACCCCGUCGCCAUCGGCGGCUUCUGGGCCUACGGCAACCAGAUACCUCCCAACGGAAUCCUGAGCGCGCUCUACAAGUUCCACAGCCGCGACGUGUCCCGGCUGGUUAUCGGUCUCGCCACCCUGCUGGUGAUCGUGAACUGCCUGACCACGUUCCAGAUCUACGCGAUGCCGGUGUUCGACAACAUGGAGGCCGGGUACGUGCACAAGAAGAACCGGCCGUGCCCGUGGUGGCUGCGCGCGGGCUUCCGCGCCUUGUUCGGCGCCAUCAACCUGCUCAUCGCCGUCGCGCUGCCCUUCCUGUCGGAGCUGGCCGGCCUCCUCGGCGGGAUCUCGCUGCCGGUCACCCUGGCCUACCCGUGCUUCAUGUGGCUGGCGAUCAUGAAGCCCGGGAGGGGCACGGCGAUGUGGUGCGUCAACUGGGCGCUGGGGUGCCUCGGCAUGGGGCUCAGCUUCGUCCUCAUAGUCGGGAACCUCUGGGGGCUCGUCGCCACUGGCCUGCACGUGCAGUUCUUCAAGCCCGCCGAGUUCCAGUGA
rnacentral:rRNA from 1 species